rnacentral:rRNA from 1 species
GUCCACACCGUAAACGAUGGAUACUAGGUGUCCGGGACUUCGGUCCUGGGUGCCCAAGGGAAACCGAUAAGUAUCCCACCUGGGGAGUACGUCCGCAAGGAUGAAACUCAAAGGAAUUGACGGGGCCCGCACAAGCGGUGGAGCAUGUGGUUUAAUUCGAUGAUACGCGAGGAACCUUACCUGGGCUAGAAUGCCCUCGACCGGCCGUGAAAGCGGUUUUCCCUUCGGGGCGAGGUGCAAGGUGCUGCAUGGUUGUCGU